GAUGAACGCUGGCGGCGUGCCUAAUACAUGCAAGUCGAGCGAACAGACGAGGAGCUUGCUCCUCUGACGUUAGCGGCGGACGGGUGAGUAACACGUGGAUAACCUACCUAUAAGACUGGGAUAACUUCGGGAAACCGGAGCUAAUACCGGAUAAUAUAUUGAACCGCAUGGUUCAAUAGUGAAAGACGGUUUUGCUGUCACUUAUAGAUUGAUCCGCGCCGCAUUAGCUAGUUGGUAAGGUAACGGCUUACCAAGGCAACGAUGCGUAGCCGACCUGAGAGGGUGAUCGGCCACACUGGAACUGAGACACGGUCCAGACUCCUACGGGAGGCAGCAGUAGGGAAUCUUCCGCAAAGGGCGAAAGCUUGACGGAGCAACGCCGCGUGAGUGAUGAAGGUCUUCGGAUCGUAAAACUCUGUUAUUAGGGAAGAACAAAUGUGUAAGUAACUAUGCACGUCUUGACGGUACCUAAUCAGAAAGCCACGGCUAACUACGUG
rnacentral:rRNA from 1 species